rnacentral:tRNA from 1 species
GGGCUCGUAGUUCAGUGGUAGAACGUUCGAUUCACAUUCGAAAGGUCAGAGGUUCAAUCCCUCUCGAGCCCACAA